rnacentral:rRNA from 1 species
GACGAACGCUGGCGGCGUGCCUAAUACAUGCAAGUCGAACGCAGUUGCGAACGGGUGAGUAACGCUUAGGUACCCGUCUCCUACCGGGUGAUAACUCUUGGAAACGCUCGCUAAUCCCGCAUACUGUUAGAUGGACCUGCGUUGUAUUAGCUAGUUGGUGAGGUAAAGGCUCACCAAGGCGACGAUACAUAGCCGACCUGAGAGGGUGAUCGGCCACACUGGGACUGAGACACGGCCCAGACUCCUACGGGUGGCAGCAGUGGGGAAUAUUGGACAAUGGGCGAAAGCCUGAUGCAGCAAGGCCGCGUGUAUGAAGAAGGCCUUCGGGUUGUAAAGUACUUUCGGCGGGGAGGCGUUACCCGCAGAAGAAGCAACGGCUAACUCCGUGCCAGCAGCCGCGGUAAUAC